rnacentral:rRNA from 1 species
GACGAACGCUGGCGGCGUGCCUAACACAUGCAAGUCGAGCGAGCGGCGGACGGGUGAGUAAUGUCUGGAAAACUGCCUGAUGGAGGGGGAUAACUACUGGAAAAGGUAGCUAAUACCCCAUACUAUCAGAUGUGCCCAGAUGGGAUUAGCUAGUAUGUGGGGUAACGGCUCACCUAGGCGACGAUCCCGAGCGGGUCUGAGAGGAUGACCAGCCAAACUGGAACUGAGACACGGUCCAGACUCCUACGGGAGGCAGCAGGGGGGAAUAUUGCACAAUGGGCGCAAGCCUGAUCCAGCCAGGCCGCGUGGGUGAAGAAGGUCUUCGGAUUGUAAAGCACUUUAAGUUGGGAGGCGUUACCAACAGAAUAAGCACCGGCUAACUUCGUGCCAGCAGCCGCGGUAAUAC